GCAGCCUGUCGGUCUGCCGCUCAUCCGGUUUAGGAUGCGAGGAAAGUCCGGGCAACACAGGGCACCAUACUUCUUAACGGGAAGCAGGCCGCAAGGUUUGAGUAGCAUAACAGAAAACAACCGCCAAUGCCCCACGGCAUCGGUAAGGGUGAAAAGGCGAGGUAAGAGCUCACCGGCUUCGGGGUAACCCGAAGGCCUUGUAAACCCCAUCCGGAGCAACGCCGGCAUGGCAUCGCAGGCUAACAGACGGCCCGUCUCUGCGAUGGCCGGCGGCUUUAGCCGCAGAGAGAUCUGCGGCAUAGAUAGAUGACCGUCUGAUACAGAACCCGGCUUACAGUCAUGCUNNCUUA
rnacentral:RNase_P_RNA from 1 species